UGGGGAAUUUCAAUGUCUAUGCUGUUUGAUGAAGGCGUCCUCACAGGCAUUGGCUCUGGUGUCUUCCAUAGCAACACUGGGACUCUCACAGAUUGUUUCAGGUCCCACACACCA